UUUGUUAUUGAAUCGAUUGUGCCGGCUGUUGAAUUAAAUUUGUUUAUCUUCUAAUUUUAGCAAUCAUGUGUAAAGUGAUUCUAGGCUACUUAUUAUUAAGCAUAUGUUUUCAUUUUAACCAGUGUAAUAAUCGUGUCGGGCCAGAUCCGUGGGAUUUGAUUCAAGACGAAACAUCAACUGACACUCAUGAUGGAAAGAUUCCUCCAGACCUUCGAUUACCACCAAAAAGGAAAAUACAAACCAAUGGAAACAUGGCAAACGGAGAGUGGUUUUUCAAGAGAACUCUUGCAAUCAUUUUGAAUGCUGGACAAACAAAGUUAAACGAAGAUGGCAGUACCGAUAUAUCCCUGCUGUUAAAAUUCGACCAGGAUCAUUGGCAAACCCUGAAGGACUACACAACAUCAAACACUGCACUGACUGAAGAUAUGUUUCGCCGUGCAGUUGCCUAUGUAGAAGAAGCUGUUUACAAACCUUCUCUUGCACAGAAAGUUGCUAUAGCAUGGAGUGAAUAUAUUCAGUCGUUAUUCUUAGAAUACAAGACUUAUAUCACAUGGUGUUGUGGAGGUUUAGCAGCAUUUGGUGUGUUGUUUUGGCUGUGGAUGCACAUGUCUCAUAAACAUGUUAUCAUACUAGUCAUUGCUGCAUUGUAUCUUUAUGAAGUAGUCAUAUCAUAUAAGGAAGCAGAGAAACAAGAAUUGGACAGAUUUCUAUCAGCUGUAAAUAAAUGCAGCUGGCAUUUUUGGAAAUCUUCAUGUGAAGUCCCUCCACCUGAUCCUAUAAUAUUCAUGAAGCACAUGAAUCCACUAAAAAUUGGCAUUAGAAUGUUCACCACAUUUCUGUCUGAACCUAUGUUGGUGCUGAGUAGUACAGUCAAUACAAUGAUAAAUGAAAUCACAGGUGGACUCUGGUUCCCGCUGGAUGUAAUAUUACACUGUAUAUUAAUUAUAUCUAUAAAUAUUAUGCUGAUAGUAUUGCUAGUCAUGAUUAUUUUUAAUUACAUACUUAACAUUCCCUUCAGCCUAAAUCUAUUUGGCUUGAUGAGUAUUGGAGUAAGACAACGUAAACAUACACUAAAUGUAGACACAAGCAACAAUUCUCCAUCAAACGGAAAUACAGAUAGAAUAAGCAGUGCUACGUUAGAAAGGAUAUUGGACGUGUGCUCCCGCGCUCUAGAUACUACGCGAAAUGUACCACAAAUUGCACCAACCACAUCUUUUAGUCCCAUCUCCACAAUUAAAAGGUCUGCGAGUACUGGACGCCUGCCUAGCUCGUCAGUAAAUAGUUAUGAUGCCCCCGAAUCCACGACAAGGAAAAGGACUAAGCCCUUAUUUAUGAUUGGUGGUGGUGACAGUCGUAAAUAAUCUAAAGACGUUAUUGGCUUGGCAAAUAUAAGGAACUGAAAAUUUAAAAGAAGGACUUGACACCCUAAAUACACUACUACCUACCAUGUAUCUACCUACUAUGUAUAACACUUGUUUAUUUAGUUUUAUAAAGUUGUUGAUUUAAAAAAAAAAAAACUUAAGUAAAGUUUUCAACUUUAAGAAACUAUUCUAAGAAAUCUAAGUCAGAUUACGUUUUAUUGUUCAAUAACGUUCGAAAUAGACUUAAAUAGUCGCUAAUCGUUUAAUGCUAAAAGUAAACUAAUUAUUAGAGAUGAAACGGAUAGUUGUUUGGCCGGAUACCGGAUACCGGAUAUCCGGCCAGCUGCUAGGCCGGAUAGCCGGAUAUCCGGCGGCCGGAUAGUUGGCCCAUUGUCUCGUUGCAUGUCGUGACGAGUUGAGCGCCGCACAGGUGCUUCGAACGCGAUCAGUGGGUCUAUUAGUAGACUAGACUAGUCACACUUUUCGAAAAUCGAAUCCGUCCGAAUAUAGUGUCAGAUUUUGCCACUUGUCAGGGGGCAGAUCAAUUCGGGUGAUUUCGGUUGCUAUCGUGAGUGUGUGAUUGAAUAGCGAAAAUUAAAUUAGUUUACUUGUUGCGUAAUCUGACUGAACUGCAUCAUGUCAUCAGACCAUCAGUGAAGAAGAGAUCGCCUUUUUUAUUUGCAAUAUUUCGAUAUUAACAGAUAUUUACUAUUUAUGUUUAUUAGAGUGAAUAAAUAGCCCAGAAAGAGAAAUUAGUUUUUUGAAAGGCUUUAAAUAUUUUUAUUUUUUUAAAUAAAUAUCCUUGGACAUUUUUACACUGCGCCUCUAGUCCCAAACUAAGCAAAGCUUGUACUAUGGGUACUAGACAACGGAUAUAAACAUACUUAAAUACUUUUUUUUUGUAAAUACAUACAUAUUAUACAUAGAAAACACCCAGACCCGUCACAGAAAUUGAAAUUUAUCGUUUCAAUUUCUGCCCGGCCGGGAAUCGAACCUGGGACCUCUCGGCAUAGUAGUCCGUUCUGAACCACUACACCAAACGGCCGACUAAACUUUAAUAUGGCUUUUGUAACUUUUUAGACUUUUUAAUGUGUUUCAUUUUAUUAAUUUAGGAAAUUGUCGUAGUUUUUUAAUAUCCGGUAUCCGGCCGGAUAGUGAGCUACUAUCCGGUAUCCGGCCGGAUAGUAAAUUUAGGCCGGAUAUCCGGCCUACCGGAUAGUUACCGGAUAUCCGUUUCAUCUCUAGUUAUAAGCGCUCGCGCUGUGAAUACUCAAAUACGUCCCAAUUGGGACGUCUUGUGUUUAGUCUUCGUGUGGCCUGCGUCGUGCGCAAUCGCGUGUGUACCACACCGUAAGUUCCUGUGUUCUUACCAAAAUAAAUAAAAAAUGCCAUCGUGUGUGUUUCGAAAGUGUACCAAUUAUGACUCUAAAGUAAACAAAAUACAAGGGAUCUCUUACCACAUGUGAUUAUGCAAAAUUAUUUAGUAUUUAUAUUUUCAAUUAUUUAUGCAAACAAUCAAGACGCCAUGCGCCAUGUUCAAGUUAAGAAAGAGAAAGCGAUCUUGUUUUGACGUUAGAGCGAUAAGGAUGCGUGCGCUGCGGACAUAGAUUAGUUAGUGCAGAAUCGUUAAAACUAUAGCUAUCUCUUUCAUUUGCGUGCUAUUUCGUAUCUUUUGUUUCACUUAUCAGUUACAUUUGUCAAUGUGUGCAAUUUGGAAUAGCUCGGCACGGAUUAAAAUCGUAAUUUCUAUGAACGUAACAUAUCUAUAGUUCUGUAAUAUCAUUGGUUGGGAUUAAUCGCUAUCCAUCUGUUAAAGAGGACACGUGAGAUCAUUAUUAUUUUGGUUUUAUAACCAUAAAAAUUGGUCUAAUUGAUUCCAUAGGUGGGCCUUAAGGUGGUAUUAAGAAAUUAAAUGUGUUUUUAUUUAAGGAUAUUUAUUGGGCUUUCAAAUAACACCAAUAUUGUUGGGGCACCAUGAUUGUGUCAGAAGAAAAUCGUUAAAAUUCGCGUCGCGGAAGGUGCGGUUUAUUUGAUGUUGAGUAUAGAAAGAAAUAAUUCUAUUUUAUAUCGGCAGACUACUGUACUGUAAAUCGUUAUUUUAUUUUUACUGACAUUAAAUAAUAUUGUUAAUAAAA